GUGUUAUAUGAAAGGAGAGAAGUUUAGCACUCCCCUUGACAAGGACGGAACGGCCUCUGGGCCUUACACACAUACGGUUAAGGCACUGCCGCUCACUUCGCGGCAACUUAACCACAUUUUUUA